rnacentral:rRNA from 1 species
UACGUAUGGAGCAAGCGUUAUCCGGAUUUACUGGGCGUAAAGGGUGCGUAGGCGGGUCUUUAAGUCAGGUGUGAAAGCCCCGGGCUCAACCCGGGAAGUGCACUUGAUACUGCGUGGCUUGAGUAUCGGAGAGGUUGGUGGAAUUCUCGGUGUAGAGGUGAAAUUCGUAGAUAUCGAGAGGAACACCGGUGGCGAAGGCGGCCAACUGGACGAAUACUGACGCUGAGACACGAAAGCGUGGGGAGCAAACAGG